GAUGAACGCUAGCGGCAGGCUUAAUACAUGCAAGUCGUGGGGGCAGCAUGUCCCGCAGCAAUGCGGGAUGAUGGCGACCGGCAAACGGGUGCGGAACACGUACACAACCUUCCUUUAAGUGGGGAAUAGGCCAGGGAAACUUGGGUUAAUACCCCGUAAUAUAUAGAAGCGGCAUCGUUUUUAUAUUAUAGCAGCAAUGCGCUUGAAGAUGGGUGUGCGGCUGAUAGAUAGUUGGCGGGGUAAUGGCCCACCAAGUCGACGAUCAGUAACUGGUGUGAGAGCACGACCAGUCACACGGGCACUGAGACACGGGCCCGACUCCUACGGGAGGCAGCAGUAAGGAAUAUUGGUCAAUGGACGCAAGUCUGAACCAGCCAUGCCGCGUGGAGGAUGAAGGUCCUCUGGA
rnacentral:rRNA from 1 species